GACGAACCGUGCGAACGUUAUUCGGAAUCACUGGGCUUAAAGCGCGUGUAGGCGGGCCGGCACGUCAGUCGCUGAAAUCCCCCGGCUCAACCGGGGAAGGGGCGCUGAUACGACCGGCCUGGAGGGCGUAGGGGACCUGGAACUUCCGGUGGAGCGGUGAAAUGCGUUGGAGAUCGGAAGGAACGCCCGUGGCGAAAGCGAGGUUCUGGACGCCAUCUGACGCUGAGGACGCGAAAAGCCAGGGGAGGCCGAACGGGG
rnacentral:rRNA from 1 species